GAAGAAGAAAGAAGAGGUUUUGGGCAUGGUGUGAUUUUCCAGAUGUAUGAUUUUGAGAGCAAAAGUUUCAUUUGGAUUUGAGUUUGAAUUUUGAGUAAUGGAGCACAAGGAUACUGUUCGUACAUAGUUUGGGUUGUUAAUUUGUUAUUGAAGAAGAAACCUAAAGAAUUAAGAAAAGAUGGGGUAAAGGGUGUGAGAGGGAUAAGAGUUAAAGAUGAAGAUGUUGUUAUUUGUUCUUCCUAAUCUUUCUUUUUUU
rnacentral:lncRNA from 1 species